UACGGAGGGGGCUAGCGUUGUUCGGAAUUACUGGGCGUAAAGCGUACGUAGGCGGCUUUGUAAGUUAGAGGUGAAAGCCCAGGGCUCAACCCUGGAAUUGCCUUUAAGACUGCAUCGCUUGAAUCAUGGAGAGGUGAGUGGAAUUCCGAGUGUAGAGGUGAAAUUCGUAGAUAUUCGGAAGAACACCAGUGGCGAAGGCGACUCACUGGACAUGUAUUGACGCUGAGGUGCGAAAGCGUGGGGAGCAAACAGG
rnacentral:rRNA from 1 species